rnacentral:lncRNA from 1 species
UGAAAACUAAAUGUUUAUUGAGCAGAAACAGUACUCAGAACAGCGUUAUCCUUUAAUCAAAAAAUAUCUCUGGAACAGUAGCAAGGUCAAUGGUCAGAGGUCAGCACCAACCCUUCAAAAAACAGAACAAAACAAACGUAAAGAGUAGAAAGCAACAGCCAGCAGGGUUCGCUCUGCUCUGAUCACAUCUCAGUCUAUUCACUGAUGUCUGGAGUCACCUGGUCCUCACCUAGAAAUCAGUCUGUUAACUGGUACCAGUCUGGAAGAGGAGGGGGGCUAUAGGGGUCUGUAGUAGAGGAGGGGGGUUAUAGGGGUCUGUAGUAGAGGGGGGGGGUUAUAGGGGUCUGUAGUAGAGGUGGGGGGUUAUAGGGGUCUGUAGUAGAGGUGGGGGGUUAUAGGGGUCUGUAGUAGAGGAGGGGGGUUAUAGGGGUCUGUAGUAGAGGAGGGGGGUUAUAGGGGUCUGUAGUAGAGGAGGGGGGUUAUAGGGGUCUGUAGUAGAGGAGGGGGGGUUAUAGGGGUCUGUAGUAGAGGGGGGGUCUGUAGUAGAGGAGGGGGGGUUAUAGGGGUCUGUAGUAGAGGAGGGGGUUAUAGGGGUCUGUAGUAGAGGAGGGGGGUUAUAGGGGUCUGUAGUAGAGGAGGGGGGUUAUAGGGGUCUGUAGUAGAGGAGGGGGGGUUAUAGGGUCUGUAGUAGAGGAGGGGGGUUAUAGGGGUCUGUAGUAGAGGAGGGGGGUUAUAGGGGUCUGUAGUAGAGGUGGGGGGGUUAUAGGGGUCUGUAGUAGAGGAGGGGGUUAUAGGGGUCUGUAGUAGAGGGGGUUUAUAGGGGUCUGUAGUAGAGGAGGGGGGUUAUAGGGGUCUGUAGUAGAGGAGGGGGUUAUAGGGGUCUGUAGUAGAGGAGGGGGGUUAUAGGGGUCUGUAGUAGAGGAGGGGGUUAUAGGGGUCUGUAGUAGAGGGGGGGUCUGUAGUAGAGGAGGGGGGGUUAUAGGGGUCUGUAGUAGAGGAGGGGGCUUAUAGGGGUCUGUAGUAGAGGAGGGGGGGUUAUAGGGGUCUGUAGUAGAGGAGGGGGGUUAUAGGGGUCUGUAGUAGAGGAGGGGGUCUGUAGUAGAGGAGGGGGGUUAUAGGGGUCUGUAGUAGAGGAGGGGGUUAUAGGGGUCUGUAGUAGAGGAGGGGGGGUUAUAGGGGUCUGUAGUAGAGGAGGGGGGGUUAUAGGGGUCUGUAGUAGAGGAGGGGGGGUCUGUAGUAGAGGAGGGGGGGUUAUAGGGGUCUGUAGUAGAGGAGGGGGUUAUAGGGGUCUGUAGUAGAGGAGGGGGGUUAUAGGGUCUGUAGUAGAGGAGGGGGGGUUAUAGGGGUCUGUAGUAGAGGAGGGGGGGGUUAUAGGGUCUGUAGUAGAGGAGGGGGGUUAUAGGGUCUGUAGUAGAGGAGGGGGGGUUAUAGGUGUCUGUAGUAACGAGGGGGGGUCCAUAGUGCAUGGGCAUGUUGAUGUCUAUAUUGUUUGGGUUGUUGUUGACCUGGUUGAGAGGGGGG